rnacentral:misc_RNA from 1 species
UAAUUGUGUUUGCUCGCAAACGAAAAAAAAACCGACUUCAAUUACAUCGAAGAGUAAUACAACGUAGAUCGACGAAAAAAUAAUCAAGUAACUACGCGUUAUCAAAGAUUACUCAAAAAGUAGUUAUCAGAUCUCGAUAAAAUUUAUAUGUACACCCAGUAAAAAGUUAUUGCGGAUUUUCGAGAGUUUCCCUCGAUUUCUCUGAGAUUCCAUCAUCAGAUCCUGGUUUCCUUAUCAUGGUAUAAAACUAGGGAUAUCCCCUUUCCAACAAAAAAAGAAUGAUCAAAAUCGGUACAUCCAGUAAAAAGUUAUGCGGUAUAAUAAAACGUAG